UACGUAGGGUGCGAGCGUUGUCCGGAAUUAUUGGGCGUAAGGGGCUCGUAGGCGGUUUGUCGCGUCGGGAGUGAAAACCCAGGGCUUAACCCUGGGCUGGCUUCCGAUACGGGCAGACUAGAGGUAUGCAGGGGAGAACGGAAUUCCUGGUGUAGCGGUGAAAUGCGCAGAUAUCAGGAGGAACAUCAGUGGCGAAGGCGGCUGUCUGGCCCAAUACUGACACUCAGGUGCGACAGCGUGGGGAGCAAACAGG
rnacentral:rRNA from 1 species